rnacentral:rRNA from 1 species
ACAACGUUUCGAAAGGAACGCUAAUACCGCAUACGUCCUACGGGAGAAAGUGGGGGAUCUUCGGACCUCACGCUAUUAGAUGAGCCUAGGUCGGAUUAGCUAGUUGGUAGGGUAAAGGCCUACCAAGGCGACGAUCCGUAACUGGUCUGAGAGGAUGAUCAGUCACACUGGAACUGAGACACGGUCCAGACUCCUACGGGAGGCAGCAGUGGGGAAUAUUGGACAAUGGGCGAAAGCCUGAUCCAGCCAUGCCGCGUGUGUGAAGAAGGCCUUCGGGUCGUAAAGCACUUUAAGUUGGGAGGAAGGGCUCAUAGCGAAUACCUGUGAGUUUUGACGUUACCAACAGAAUAAGCACCGGCUAACUUCGUGCCAGCAGCCGCGGUAAUACGAAGGGUGCAAGCGUUAAUCGGAAUUACUGGGCGUAAAGCGCGCGUAGGUGGCUUGAUAAGUUGGAUGUGAAAUCCCCGGGCUCAACCUGGGAACUGCAUCCAAAACUGUCUGGCUAGAGUGCGGUAGAGGGUAGUGGAAUUUCCAGUGUAGCGGUGAAAUGCGUAGAUAUUGGAAGGAACACCAGUGGCGAAGGCGACUACCUGGACUGACACUGACACUGAGGUGCGAAAGCGUGGGGA